CAAAUUAUCCUCAUAAGUUUGACGAAAAGAGGACCGCACAUUAUAAUAAAUAAAUAUUUAUAUAAGGUGGUGGCACAUAAUCGGAGGCCCCGACUGUUUACUAAAAACACAGAUCACAGCAAUCAUGUAAAUGAUAGUAUUGUGGUCGAAAUUUGCCCGAUGCCAUUAAUAUAAGAGAGGUUAUGGAAUUCUGUAACUAAUCGAAAGUCUGGUUAAUAGCGGUCUUAACUAUGAGGAUCCUAAGGUAGCAAAAUCAAUUGGCCAUUAAAUGUGGUCCGGUAUCAAUAAUGUAACGAGGGCCUCACUGUCUCUACAACUUGCUCAGUGAAAUUGAAUUACCCGUGCAGAUGCGGGUUGCCUUCAGGGGACGGGAAGACCUAUGCAAGCUU
rnacentral:rRNA from 1 species